rnacentral:rRNA from 1 species
GAUGAACGCUGGCGGCGUGCUUAACACAUGCAAGUCGAACGAUGAAGCCCAGCUUGCUGGGCGGAUUAGUGGCGAACGGGUGAGUAACACGUGAGUAACCUGCCCUUGACUCUGGGAUAAGCCCGGGAAACUGGGUCUAAUACCGGAUAGGAGCGCCUGUCGCAUGACGGGUGCUGGAAAGAUCUUUCGGUCAUGGAUGGACUCGCGGCCUAUCAGCUUGUUGGUGAGGUAACGGCUCACCAAGGCGACGACGGGUAGCCGGCCUGAGAGGGUGACCGGCCACACUGGGACUGAGACACGGCCCAGACCCCUACGGGAGGCAGCAGUGGGGAAUAUUGCACAAUGGGCGAAAGCCUGAUGCAGCGACGCCGCGUGAGGGAUGACGGCCUUCGGGUUGUAAACCUCUUUCAGCAGGGAAGAAGCGAAAGUGACGGUACCUGCAGAAGAAGCACCGACUAACUACGUG